UACGUAGGGGGCUAGCGUUGUCCGGAAUCAUUGGGCGUAAAGAGCGUGUAGGCGGCCCGGUAAGUCCGUUGUGAAAGUCGGGGGCUCAACCCUCGAAUGCCGGUGGAUACUGUCGGGCUAGAGUGCGGAAGAGGCGAGUGGAAUUCCUGGUGUAGCGGUGAAAUGCGCAGAUAUCAGGAGGAACACCGAUUGCGAAGGCAGCUCGCUGGGACGUAACUGACGCUGAGACGCGAAAGCGUGGGGAGCAAACAGG
rnacentral:rRNA from 1 species